rnacentral:rRNA from 1 species
AUAAUGGGUCAGCGACUUAUAUUCUGUAGCAAGGUUAACCGAAUAGGGGAGCCGAAGGGAAACCGAGUCUUAACUGGGCGUUAAGUUGCAGGGUAUAGACCCGAAACCCGGUGAUCUAGCCAUGGGCAGGUUGAAGGUUGGGUAACACUAACUGGAGGACCGAACCGACUAAUGUUGAAAAAUUAGCGGAUGACUUGUGGCUGGGGGUGAAAGGCCAAUCAAACCGGGAGAUAGCUGGUUCUCCCCGAAAGCUAUUUAGGUAGCGCCUCGUGAAUUCAUCUCCGGGGGUAGAGCACUGUUUCGGCAAGGGGGUCAUCCCGACUUACCAACCCGAUGCAAACUGCGAAUACCGGAGAAUGUUAUCACGGGAGACACACGGCGGGUGCUAACGUCCGUCGUGAAGAGGGAAACAACCCAGACCGCCAGCUAAGGUCCCAAAGUCAUGGUUAAGUGGGAAACGAUGUGGGAAGGCCCAGACAGCCAGGAUGUUGGCUUAGAAGCAGCCAUCAUUUAAAGAAAGCGUAAUAGCUCACUGGUCGAGUCGGCCUGCGCGGAAGAUGUAACGGGGCUAAACCAUGCACCGAAGCUGCGGCAGCGACGCUGAUGCGUUGUUGGGUAGGGGAGCGUUCUGUAAGCCUGUGAAGGUGUGCUGUGAGGCAUGCUGGAGGUAUCAGAAGUGCGAAUGCUGACAUAAGUAACGAUAAAGCGGGUGAAAAGCCCGCUCGCCGGAAGACCAAGGGUUCCUGUCCAACGUUAAUCGGGGCAGGGUGAGUCGACCCCUAAGGCGAGGCCGAAAGGCGUAGUCGAUGGGAAACAGGUUAAUAUUCCUGUACUUGGUGUUACUGCGAAGGGGGGACGGAGAAGGCUAUGUUGGCCGGGCGACGGUUGUCCCGGUUUAAGCGUGUAGGCUGGUUUUCCAGGCAAAUCCGGAAAAUCAAGGCUGAGGCGUGAUGACGAGGCACUACGGUGCUGAAGCAACAAAUGCCCUGCUUCCAGGAAAAGCCUCUAAGCAUCAGGUAACAUCAAAUCGUACCCCAAACCGACACAGGUGGUCAGGUAGAGAAUACCAAGGCGCUUGAGAGAACUCGGGUGAAGGAACUAGGCAAAAUGGUGCCGUAACUUCGGGAGAAGGCACGCUGAUAUGUAGGUGAAGUCCCUCGCGGAUGGAGCUGAAAUCAGUCGAAGAUACCAGCUGGCUGCAACUGUUUAUUAAAAACACAGCACUGUGCAAACACGAAAGUGGACGUAUACGGUGUGACGC